UUGAAAAAUAUAUAAGGAAAGGUAGCUCAUAGUCACCACUAUACAUAAUAAUGGUGGAUUACUUAAGUAGACGAUUAGAUCAAGAGAAGAUAGUUGAAAACUUACAGGGAAUUUCAAGGGGAAUCCAGUUGUUUAAUUAAAACUAGUACAAAUAAGGGGAAUAUGAUUGUUUAAUUAAAACAAAACAUUAUGAUGGUCCCUGCGGAUGCUGAUGUAAUGUGAUUUAUUCCCAUUCAUAUGCAUGUCAAAGUGAAUAAAUUCAACCAAGCACGAGUAAAUGACGGGAGUAACUAUGAAUCUAUUAAGGUAUCCAGAUGCCUCGUCAUCUAAUUAGUGACGUGCAUGAAUGGAUUAAUGAUAUUCCCACUGUCCCUAGAUACUAUCUAGAGAAAACACAUCCAAGGGAAUGGGAUUGA
rnacentral:ncRNA from 1 species